rnacentral:rRNA from 1 species
GGAUCAUGGCUCAGGAUGAACGCUAGCUACAGGCUUAACACAUGCAAGUCGAGGGGCAGCAUUUCAGUUUGCUUGCAAACUGGAGAUGGCGACCGGCGCACGGGUGAGUAACACGUAUCCAACCUGCCGAUAACUCGGGGAUAGCCUUUCGAAAGAAAGAUUAAUACCCGAUGGCAUAAUUAGACCGCAUGGUCUUAUUAUUAAAGAAUUUCGGUUAUCGAUGGGGAUGCGUUCCAUUAGG